rnacentral:rRNA from 2 species
ACGGGAGGCAGCAGUGGGGGAUAUUGCACAAUGGGCGCAAGCCUGAUGCAGCGACGCCGCGUGAGUGAAGAAGUAUUUCGGUAUGUAAAGCUCUAUCAGCAGGGAAGAAAAUGACGGUACCUGACUAAGAAGCUCCGGCUAAAUACGUGCCAGCAGCCGCGGUAAUACGUAUGGAGCAAGCGUUAUCCGGAUUUACUGGGUGUAAAGGGAGCGUAGGCGGUGAUGCAAGUCAGAAGUGAAAACCCGGGGCUCAACCCCGUGGAUUGCUUUUGAGACUGUGUUGCUGGAGUACAGGAGGGGCAGGCGGAAUUCCUGGUGUAGCGGUGAAAUGCGUAGAUAUCAGGAGGAACACCGGUGGCGAAGGCGGCCUGCUGGACUGUAACUGACGCUGAGGCUCGAAGGCGUGGGGAGCAAACAGGAUUAGAUACCCUGGUA